rnacentral:lncRNA from 1 species
AGAAGCUGAUAUUUGUCACUGAAAUCCACUGCUUCCAUGAUUUGUGGAUAUCUCAGUCAUUCUCGGAGACCAUAGGGCAGAACGCAAAGAACAUAACAUAGGAGUCAAAUGGAGCCGAACACUUCAGUCACUCACGUGAUGGCUGUGUGUCCUUGGGCUCUACAAGAAGCAUGGUAUCAGCAUCUGCUUCUGAUGAUGCCUCAGGCUGCUUCCACUCAAGUUGGAAGGAAAAAGGGAGGCUGCAUGUGCAGAGAUCACACGGAGGAGGAGGAAGCAAAAGAGAACUUUCUAGCUCGAAAUCACGUAUGGAAGCUGAGUCACCUCCGUUUCUCCUGGAGCCCGAGCUGGCUGUCACCGAGACCUUGCUCAUUAUGCAGACUCAUUCACAUGCAUACCCAAAGCAACACUUGACGGUUGUGGAAGAUUUCCAUCCUCACAGGUCAUGAAAUGCGUCUCCACUGGAAUACUGGUUGUUUAUCACCUACACUAACGAUUUACAAUGGCCUAAGUGUUGUAUUCCUAGUGACUGUAGUCUGAAUCAAAAACUCCUGCCCUGAAGCAAGGACAACUUCUUUAUUCACAUGGAGAAUGAUAGCAGGGAAAAGGCAAAAAUUUAACAAUAACGAAGAAAAAUCCCUCUUUUUCUAUGUGCAGAAUAAAAAUCUUAUUAAAAUAAGACCUUUCAAGUGCUUCCUUUCACUGUUCAUUUGGGAAGGUAUUUCACAGACGGUAUGAACACCCUGAAAUGUUGCCCGGUCUGAAAUCUUUUAUCUGCAGCUUUAGA